ACCAGGCCCCUCAUCUGCCUUCUACUUGGGGUGCUGUUGACCAAGGUAUUACCAGCGUCACUAUUUCCUUUCCUGUCCUCCCGUGGCUGAGGCUGUGGCUGAGAGCGUGCCUGUCACACUGCAUGCCCCGGCAGCUCUCCCCAGCUCCACCCUGGAGGACUGGUACUCUUCGCUGCGCCCACUCAUUAAGGAAGUCUCCUGAGAGUCCUCAGAAAUGCCAGCCACGGACCCCCCACCCAGAGCACCACUACAUGGAGGCGGCAAAUUCCCCACAGCAGGACUUGGAGUGCAACAGGUGCAGGCCGCUCUCUUCUUCCCUAUCUUUUGAUUCUGCUGUGGCUAACAUGGGCACAUGAAUGUUGCCCAGUACUCUGUUGGGGUAUGGUGUCCACCCCUUUCGGUUGUGAUAACAGUAAAACACUUGGUGAGUGUAGAUGAAAUUGUAAUAUUUCCAGAA